GACGAACGCUGGCGGCGUGCUUAACACAUGCAAGUCGAACGGAAAGGCCCUGCUUGCAGGGUACUCGAGUGGCGAACGGGUGAGUAACACGUGGGUGAUCUGCCCUGCACUUCGGGAUAAGCCUGGGAAACUGGGUCUAAUACCGGAUAGGAGCCAUUUUUAGUGUGAUGGUUGGAAAGUUUUUUCGUUGUAGGAUGAGCUCGCGGCCUAUCAGCUUGUUGGUGGGGUAAUGGCCUACCAAGGCGGCGACGGGUAGCCGGCCUGGGAGGGUGGACGGCCACAUUGGGAACGAGAUACGGCCCAGAAUGCGACGGGAGGCAGCAGUGGGGAAUAUUGCACAAUGGGCGGAAGGCUGAUGCAGCGACGACGCGUGGGGAAUGACGGCCUUCGGGUUGUAAACGCCUUUAGCGAGGGACGAAGCUUUUUGUGACGGUACCUAGAUAAGAAGCACCGGCUAACUACGUG
rnacentral:rRNA from 1 species